UACGGAGGGGGCUAGCGUUGUUCGGAAUUACUGGGCGUAAAGCGCACGUAGGCGGCUUUGCAAGUUAGAGGUGAAAUCCCGGGGCUCAACUCCGGAAUUGCCUUUAAGACUGCAUCGCUUGAACGUCGGAGAGGUAAGUGGAAUUCCGAGUGUAGAGGUGAAAUUCGUAGAUAUUCGGAAGAACACCAGUGGCGAAGGCGACUUACUGGACGAUUGUUGACGCUGAGGUGCGAAAGCGUGGGGAGCAAACAGG
rnacentral:rRNA from 1 species